rnacentral:RNase_P_RNA from 1 species
AAGGUGCAAUAGGUAGUUGCUGGUGACAGCAUGUCACGAGAGGAAAGUCCGGGCUGCAAGUAAAGCGGGGCUCCAUCUAACAGAUGGCCAGAGUAAUCUGAGGGCAAGUGCAACAGAGAGUAAACCGCCAAACUUUGUUUGGUAAGGGUGAAAGGGUGGGGUAAGAGCCCACCAGUACUUAUGGUAACAUAGGUAGCUAGGUAAACCCUGUCCGCAGCAAGAAGUAUAUGGUAUAAGUUUUGCAAGCUGUUCACUCAGCACCCAUACUUCGCUUGAGCGUAUUGGCAACAAUACGCCUAGAUAAAUAACUACCCACGACAAAACCCGGCUUAUCGUUGCACCUGUAAU